AGUUCUUAAGUUCAAGCCAUUUAUAUUGAAGACACGUUGACUCUGCUGUUGCUGUAGCUGUUGCUGCUGCUGCCAAGCCAAGAGGCCUCCUUUUAUCCAGUCCUCAUCAUCUUCGUCUUAUACUCGUGCUCUGCUCUGCCUUUCUCGUUGUCGUUGACGUCGUCAUCGUCGUCGUCGUCUUGGUCGUAGUCGAUCGUGUACAUAAAACCAACCUCUGAGUCUGAAUCUGAAUUGGAAGACCAAAAAGAAAAUUUUGGUUCAUUGGGCAACCAAACGCAAACGAAAGACACGGAGUCAACUCCUCGACUCGAUCCCUACGGAGAUAUAAUCGGAUAUCUGUUUCUGUAUGCAUUUGCGUGCUAUAGGACAUCAUCCCAGCAUAGCACAGCAUCAGCAUCCCAAAGUCUCAUGUCCCAUGUAAGUGCCCCCACACAAUCCGGUAUAUGUGCAUUUGAACUUGGUGACUAACCUACACCUUGGAGUUGGGACAGGGGUCCAACAUCAUCCGACACAAUCCGUCGUUAAGGAAGUUUUUUUUUUUUUUUUCUUGAAUGAAUGAAAAAAAGUUAAAUAAAUUGGUAUUUCUUAGAUGAUGUUAUGGCCUUAAGACGUGGUGCUUUGUUAAGAGGGUAUACAUAUGUACAUAUAUUGGGAUAGGCGAACACACAUCCCGCGCGUUGGUGGAAGAAGGAAACCGUCCGCGGCCUCGCUAACAACCUCUUGGACUCAUGGCUUAUAGGAGAAACCUUCUCCUAACUUCUUCCUCUACCUAAGCCCGGCCAUCAGGGCUAUAGGAGACGACGAAGACGACAACCAUUAUGCGAAUCGGAUUUUGUGCACGCGGACUUCUCUGGUCCAGCUCGGCUGUUGUCAUGUUCAAUAUAAAAAAAGAAGGUUCCUCGCGCCGAGCCGGUUGCCGGACGCCGCGGGUUAGAGGAACGGGACAGGGUGGGCAGAUAGUGUCCUAUAUGGGUGCGGGAAGAGUAUUGGUUGGCUGAAUGGUUUGAUAGUUAUUGGUGAGGGAAGAACAACUUACUCCUUUAGGUAGCGUCCCCAGAAGACGGCUUUUAUGCAACCCAGCAUCACCAUCAGCAUCUCAGAAUGUAACUUUUAUUGCAACCAUCAUUGGAUGGCUGUUGUUAUAUUUCGCGCGCCUGUGUAUCUUUACCUUUUUUGUAUCUGGCAUUUUAUUUGCUUUUGGGAAAAUUUUAUUUAUAUCUUUUAAACUGUCGGUUUUAUUUUUAGAUUUAUAAAUGUUAAAAAACUUGAUGUUGCCAGGCAGGUCCUUCUUUUUCUUAUUCUGGGGAAUGCUGCGGUUUGGUUUUGGAAUUGGUUUUGCUUUUGGUUUGGCGGAACGCGCGCUGCGCUGCUGCUGAUGCUGCUGCUGCGCGCUGUUGGUGUGCUUAAUGCUGUGCUCAAUAAAAGGGUACAGUUUCGCGCGUGUACAAAAACUACAUUCCAUUGGGAUGCUGGAUGCACAGCACAUUCUUCACCAGCCACUUUAUGUCUAGAGUGAAUUCUUUUUUAUUAUUAUUUUGAUUAUCUAGUUAAGGUUUCGAGUCUUUUUUACUUUAGAUAUGAUUUAGUUGUCACACCGGAAAUCAAGUUGAAUUAAUAGCUAUUAUGUAGUUAAAGGAAUUAAGAAUCCGUUUAUUGAUAUUAUAUUUACAAAACAAAAACCAAAACAUUCAUUUAAUUGAAGCUUUUUUUUACAAUACAGAUAUGUUCCCAUUUUUGAAUUAUUUAUUUUUGUACAUGUGACUUACUCCUACUUACAGUUAUUUAUUUUUAUUGAAAGUCAUAAUUAUAGUGU